rnacentral:tRNA from 1 species
UCCCAGAUGGCUCAGAUGGUAAAGUAUCUGCCUGCAAUGUUGGAGACUUGGGUUCGAUUCCUGGUUUGGGAA